GCCGGGCACAGUGGCAUACGCUUGUAAUCCCAGCAACUCUGGAGGCUGAGACAGGAGGAUUGCAAGUUCAAAGCCAGCCUCAGCUACUCAGCAGGAUCUUGUCUCUC
rnacentral:sRNA from 1 species